rnacentral:rRNA from 1 species
GGAGCUUGCUCCCGGAUGUUAGCGGCGGACGGGUGAGUAACACGUGGGUAACCUGCCUGUAAGACUGGGAUAACUCCGGGAAACCGGAGCUAAUACCGGAUAGUUCCUUGAACCGCAUGGUUCAAGGAUGAAAGACGGUUUCGGCUGUCACUUACAGAUGGACCCGCGGCGCAUUAGCUAGUUGGUGAGGUAACGGCUCACCAAGGCGACGAUGCGUAGCCGACCUGAGAGGGUGAUCGGCCACACUGGGACUGAGACACGGCCCAGACUCCUACGGGAGGCAGCAGUAGGGAAUCUUCCGCAAUGGACGAAAGUCUGACGGAGCAACGCCGCGUGAGUGAUGAAGGUUUUCGGAUCGUAAAGCUCUGUUGUUAGGGAAGAACAAGUGCAAGAGUAACUGCUUGCACCUUGACGGUACCUAACCAGAAAGCCACGGCUAACUACGUGCCAGCAGCCGCGGUAAUACGUAGGUGGCAAGCGUUGUCCGGAAUUAUUGGGCGUAAAGGGCUCGCANGCGGUUUCUUAAGUCUGAUGUG